UUAUGUUUAUAGAACCUUCUUUUUUGGACAACAGAGGAUUACCAAUACUUUUGUAAAGCCCAGCUGAGAGAGAAAAAAGAGGGAGUGACCACAGACAAUCACCCAUCUCAGGGUGGGUGCACCUCUCCCCAGCUGUGAAACCCAAGGAGGCUCUACUAGCCAUCACUAGCUGCCAAAUUUCAAGUACAAGAGACAAGAAGCUCUACAGGGGACAUACCUAGCUCUGAUUUAAAUUUAAUCUGUGUGGUCAAUUAUUUGUAUAAGAAUGGAGGAAAAUAAAGACUAUUU